CUCCCUGGCUGACUGACUGACAGACAGGGGUGGCCCAAGCUGUUUGGGUUCAUUCGUUUUAUUGACAAGCAGCCAGUCCGAAUUCAAGAACAGAAGGAACACUGGAGUUGUAUAGGCAGAACUUCCGUAACAAGAUCACCUUUCAAUGGUAGAACACCACAGCGAUUAGUAUAGCUGCUUCCUUUCCUAAUCUUAACACGCACGUUGAGAAAAUCUCAACUCCUCUCUCUCUCUCUCUCUCUCUCUCUCUCUCAAAAUACGUUACGCUUAUGUCGACCUGCAGGGGCUCCAGUUGUGAUUGUGAUGUAGUCACUGUGUAAUGGUGGUGGUGGUACAAGUGGGAACCGAAUGUGGUGGACAGGGACGAGGCAGUCGCUCCACAGGGGUCAGCGAGGUGGGCGAAUUGGAUUACAGUGUUAUCAGAGUAAUGGGAAUUUUACCAGAAGUUUUUAGAGGUGUACAUACUUCUGUGAGAAUGGACUAAGUGGAGCAGGAGUAUGAAGGAGGAUGGAAAGUGUUGCUGAAAAGGUUACAGAUGUGUGAUGCAAGAUUUCCAGACUAUAGACAUCAGUUAAAAUAAGGACAGUAAUAAACAAGUGAAGAAUGAAACAAUUA